UGAUCUGUACCAAAGUUUCUACAUCUGACUGAAAAAAAAAUGCUCUUCUUGAGAAAAACCAAGAGCAGGUGACUCUUUAGUGAUUCAGUUUUGAUCUCCCAGCAAACCUCUACUUAAAGGUUUAGCCUCUUCAUUACAUGCACCUUUGGCUGCUAAUUGCUGCUGAUCGAGUGAAAAUUAGUAAAAUAGGCAUCUUGUAACGUAAGAAUUCACGUUGAAUGAUGAUGGAGAAAGAUUGUAGUGUUAAGGCUGUAGGGUCAGGUCUAUGUUAAGCAGCUCUGAUGGUUGCAUGUGUUCUGAUACCAUGUGAAAAGUAAAACUACCUGGCUAUUCUGCAGUUGUUGCUUCCACAGGCACAAUUGCUGUCUGGCUCACCUCAAAUCCCUUAACAUUUUUUGAAUCUUGCUAUCAUAAGGUCCCAUUCCCUACUUGUUUUGUGGACAAGUGAAUGAGAGUGAACACCAAGUGAUUGGAAUAUUGGUUUACUAGCAAGCAAGCUUAUCGUUGCCAUAUGCCUCUCACACUGGUACCUUUUGAUUGCUCCUCUCACCCUCAUGUGGGUGUUCCGGUGGCCACCAAGUUCUUGUGAAAUAUAGAACUUUCUCUUGCAGAAGCUACACUAGAAAACUUUGCUGGCAGUGGAUUUUGAUCGUGAACCCUGCUCCAUAUCCAUGAUGCAGUUUUUUCCUGCCGGGACUAAAGUUCAAGCACUCAUUUGAACGACCCUUCUUCAUAUCUCUGGAGUAACUAUCGCUAAAUGUUUUACUUUUCUGGUUGAUGACUGAUGCUCAUGUUAGUUCCAUGUUCUGGAAAAUCAUCUUAACCGUGUGUUGAUUUGAAAGGAGGCAGUCAAGGAAGCUAUACUAUUAGGCUCUUUAUACGUUGUCGAUGUGCCUCAAGAGGAUUGGCUGAUAUACAACAAGAAGAUCAAAGAAACGAACUCAGAGAUAUAUCUCAUGAAUUUCUAGUUCUUGUUGACAUCACUGGAAGAGACGCAUUGAUUAAUCAAGAGGUUGAAGAAAGGAGCGGCUAGAAGGGGUGCAAAGAGACCGAGGAUAGCCUAGCUUUAUCCGCACAGAUUAUUGCACUACUACUUCUGCCGACUGAAGGUUUUAUUUGCUAAUCGCGAUGAUAAGAGGUGCAGAUAGGUAUAUUUUAUAUGAACUCAAGGAACAUUCCACCUUCCUUUGUCCUAGUGGGCUCGUGUAGUUGUCUUAUACAGGGCAAAGUGUUUGGAGAACGAACAUAGAAUCAAGGUGUUCGUGAGAAAUCCUGAGGAAACAGGUAGACCCGAAUUCUCUACUUGCUUUCAUACGCCGGUAAGGCAUUGGCAAUUGAAGCUUCCAUGUCACAACAUGACCAGUGUGGCUGGUGGAUUGAUGACCCAGGAGGUUGGAACAGAGAGUUGUCUAAUCGAAAUUGCACCUUAUCCACAAACGGAGCAUCUAGAUGGUGCUGGGUUCAGCUACAAUGGUGGAAACUAGGCCAGGUUCUCACAGAUGGAAUGUACAAAAGUGCCUUAAACUACUAUUAUAUGGUUCUCUAGAUUCCCGCCCCAAAAUGGCAUGCCCCAAGUACUUUUACACUUGCAAUAAAAUCGGCACCCUUCUUUGGAAGAUCA